ACACUGGAUAAACCCUGAUUUUCCAUGCCCCUCCUGCACUUAACUACAGUGCCCCCUAUAAUGCGGAGUGCCUUAUGUGUGGAUCAAUCCCGCUGCAAACAAGGUUGGGUGUUAUUGUAACGCGGCUAACAUGUAGAGGUACGAGGACUGUGUUUUUUUGUUUUUUUUUUGGUGUUACUAACCAGUUGGGAGUUACAGACGUUGUGAAUAUGGUCAUGCGGCUGAGGCGUCUAACAUGGCUGACCUGUAGUGUGUUGCUAUCAAGUUUUAGAGUCACUGUGAAUAGAAUUUAUAAAGUCUGACUGACUGACUUA